rnacentral:lncRNA from 1 species
GCAUCUAAUUAUAGAAUGAAUUAAAGAAUAAUACACAUUCCAAUUAUAUUUGGUUGAUUAUAAUUGGAAUCAUACCUAAGCCCCUUGUUCUUAUAUUGCUUUGAAACUGGGAAGGAAAGUAGUUAAGAGUAGCUUCAUCCUCCCAUUCUAACUCGUUCCACCACUCUUGCUUUCCUACCAUCACAACUCUACCUUGAUUGGCACUAUUGGAGUUGAGUGGCAGCCUCUUCAGCUUUGGACACCCGAUUACUUCAAUUCUGUCAAGGUAAAGAAAGGGCAAGGGAUUCUGGUACACAUUCUUCAGUUGGGGUAAACCAUUUAACUCCAGUCAUAUGAAUUUUGUGAAUGGGUUCAGAUUUCCUCCAUCCUCUACACCUUUACCUAUCACUUCUUCCAUUUCAUCACAUUGUCCUAUUUUAAGAUAUAGGAGGUUUGGGGCAAAAAUAAGCCAUGUCAAAUUCUUCAACAUCUGGCAUCUAUUGAUUGCCACUUUGCGAAGGCCAUGGAAGCAUUUGACUUUCGGGUUAAGACUGCUAUACCCCACUGUUUCCUUUCCUUUCUCUGCCCAAUCAAACUUAAUCUCUCUCAAACUAUCAAAAUCUUUCAUCAUAAACGCAUAGAGAUGUUUCAUAUUUUCGAGAGAUGAUAGGUUGAGUGAGCUUGAACCUUUGAACAUCUUGAGGCAGAUUCCUAGAGUGCAACUCGGUAACUUUCUGGAACUUAAAAAUCUCUUAAACACAUAGGCACUUGCUAUGGUGACACUUAAAUCCAUCAAGUAUUUUAAACUCUCCAAUUCCUCUACCAAGGACUCAUUACCAUAUGAUUCAACGCCUCCUUCAGCUACUUGAUCAUAAAGUCCACAAUUGUACAUGCCAACCCCUUGCAACAUUAAAAGACUUGAUAUUAGUCCUCGUGGAAUUGAAUAGAGUUUAGAUGCACACAAUCUCAAAGUCUUCAAUUGUACGAGAUUCUUCAUCUCAAUUGGCAACUUCUUUAUCUCUGUACCAGAUAAAUCAAGAUAUUGCAAUGAAACCAAAUUAGAAAUAUCUGAUGGUAACUCAACUAUUUUGGUGUUUGAUAAGCUCAACACUCUUAGAUUGGGCAUAAAUUGGAAAAAACCAUUGCUUAUCAUCUGCAAAUCACUAUUCAAAUCUAAACGAAGUGUCGAGAGAUUAGGACAUGUGGGUGAUCCUGUUAACUUCUGAAUUCGGUUGUCCAUAAGUGAAAUCCUUUUCGUCGUCGUCCAUUUGACAAAGUCAGGCGCUUGGGUCAAACCGACACUUGUUUGUACCAAAAACUUGCCCUUCAUCUCCCCAAUUUUACUGGUUAUCCACAAGGCCAUAUCACGUACAACAUCAUGAAAUUUUACAAAUCUAGUACCUGAAGAUUCCUCAAGUAGACAUGCAUGAACGAGAGUACUGAUAAUAUUAAAUCCCUGAUUUCUGGCUCCAUCCGUGUCAUCAAAUUCAUCUAAAAAUCCCUCACAAAUCAAUUGAUAUAUUUAAAGUUCCUUAACUGUGCAAAAAUCUUCUGGGAAUAAAGAACAAUAUACGAAGCAAGAUUGAACUAUUUUGGAGGGCAAACUAUCAUAGCUGUAUUUCAAAAGUGGGUACACUCGCCUAGAGGAAAACACCAUCCCAAGUUCCCAACGGCCGCGUGCACGCACAUGAAUUCAUACAUGCAUAUGGGGAUUAGGGUGGGAGUGAGCAGCCUGGUUUGCAGCGGAAUUCAAACUCAUCACGAGUCGUUUGACAGUGACCAUAACGAUUUCUUUGAAAGCUGCUAUCUCCAUAAUCACCUAAAACCUGAAAAAAAAAAAAAAUUGAUAACAUGGUGAAAUUGAAAAUUACUGGACAAUGCAUUUGAUUGUUAAUAGAAUAUAUUGAGUGUCUUUGUUGUUCUAAGCUCGUUGAUGUGGUAUUAUAAUGCUUACUAAUGUGGUAUAAUAAUUUAUCAAUAUUUUGGAUCUUAUUGAGAAUUAAUUAAUUAAAAAUAAAUAAAAUGAUAAUUAAGUGUAGACCCCAAAAUUUGUCCCAAUUUUUAUUUUUAUAUUAAUUUUGAACCCAAUUUUGUCUUCGAACUUUCAAUCCCGAUUACAUGUGAUAUUUUUUGCUCACUCACCCUUUAAUUCUUAGCUUUUACUAUUUUGUAAAUUGUUUUAUUUUUAUUUCUAUUUGUUAUUAUUGUUAUUAUUAUUAUUAUUAUUAUUAUUAUUAUAUAAUAUUAUAUUAUAUAUUUUUUAUUAUUUCCUCUCUCCUCUCUCUUCUCUUCCUCCACCUACCCUCACCCAAGGAGGAAAAUGUCGCAAUAUAUCGUGUAUCGGGAGGAGUCAACACGAUAUUUAAUGGAGAAAAAUCGGAGGGGAGAUAUUUCCGUAAAUAUCGCCAAAAUAUCGGCGAUAUAUCGGAGAUAUAUCGGCGAUUUUGUGAAAAAAUCGCCUCUGGUGGCAAUAAAUCGCCGAUAUAUCGGCGAUAAAUCGGAGAUAUAUCGACGAUUUUUUGGAGAUAUUUCCCCUCCUUCAUGUGGCGUGAUCUGACGGCUUAGAUUACGCCCGUAUUGAUCCAACGACCCAAAUGCAAUUCUAACGGCAAUAUAGCAAUCCAAUGGCUAGAUUGCUCCCUAUUUUUUAUCCAAUGGCCGAAAUUGAUUUCAACGAAAUAUUAAUGUUUCAACAACUAUUUUGACCCAAAUUUCUUCUAUAAAUAGCCCAAAUUUCAUCCAUUUCACCCAUUUUUGCUUUCAUUCUUCAUUUGCUCUCUCAUUACUCCAAUUUUUAUUAAGAUUGCUCAAUUAUUCAAUCAUUUUAAGGUAUGUUUGUUUUAAAUUGUAAUUAAUUUUGUUUGCAAUUGUAAUUAAUUCAUGUAUUUUUAAUUAAUUAGUAUGAUUUAAUGUUAUUUUUACAUUCAAUUGUAAUUAAUUUGAUUAUUUAAUUAUAAAUUGAUACGUUUAUUUUAGAUGAUUAUUUGUGAUUUAUUUUCACAUUUAGAAUUAAAUUAAAUUAGUUAGCUUAGCUAAAGUAUUUAAUUAAUUUAAUUAACUUAGUUAAAUUAUUUAAUUAGUUUAAUUAACAUGAACUACUAUAUAUGAAAUAUUAAAUAUGUUCAAUUUUUAUGAUUAUUGGGAUUUAUUUUAAUAUUCAAUUAUGAUUAAUUUUUAAUUUAGUCAAUUUAUCAUAGAAUUACAUUUAGAUUCAAAAAAUUAACUUAGCUAAAUUAUUUAAUUAGUUUUAUUAACAUGAACUACUAUAUAUGGAAUAUUAAAUAUGUUCAAUUUUUAUGAUUAUUGGGAUUUAUUUUCAUAUUCAAUUAUGAUUAAUUUUUAAUUUAGUCAAUUUAUCAUAGAAUUACAUUUAGAUUCAAAAAAUUAACUUGGCUAAAUUAUUUAAUUACAAAAUUAACAUUUCUUAUAGAUCGACAUGAUAUAAUUACAUCUAAUAUCGCAAAUUAUAUCAUAUGUAUAUCAAAUUUUUCAAUAAAACAACUUUAAAAUGUCUAUUAUAGUUCUAAUUAUAUUAUUAUGAGGUUUUCCUUACAUUUCCAUGAGCUUUUAACAAUUUUAAGCCUACCAAUAUUUUUUCCCAAAUAUCAGCCGAUAUAUCUUCGAUAUAUCCGUAAAAUCGAAGUACCAAUAUAUCCGUGAUUACCAAUAUUUUCAUCCUUGCCCUCACCUACCCCCCAUACUCUCCCACGUCCAAAAGCUUCCACUCUCCACUCUUCAUGAUGGCUUUUUUCCUUUUUAUUUAAUUUUUUUUCUCUCCCUCCAAUAGCCUUUUUGGCCGACCCCCCCAAUUUUUCCCCCCAUUUGAUUUUCCUCCCACUUUUCCCUUCUAAGAAAAAAGUAUAAAUGAAAGGGUAAUAUAAAUUUAAAAUAAAAAAUGAAAAUUAAACUAAAAGAUAAAUACAAAAAGAUAAAAAAUAUUUGGAUGAAAAAUCCCAAAAUUUUUAUCCUUACUUAUAAUAAGAGUAAAAAGAUUCAGUAACUUUAAAAAAGAAAAAAAGAAAAAGAAAAACAUUAUUGCUUUUUAUUUGACAUAAAAUAAAAAUAUAGAUUGGAAGAAAAAGAAUAAAAAGUUAGAAAUGAGUAAUACUUAAUAGGGAAGAGAAAAGAGAAAAAAAAACACAAAAAAAUUGAAAUUCACACUCACAAUGUGCCUAUGUAAAGGUUAAGGGUAUUUUAGGGAUUAAUGAAGGAUAAUAUCCUUCUUCUCAAUUUUCAGACUUUCUUUGGGUGUUGGGCUUAAUCAUGUAAGAUAUAUGGACCAGAUCUUAAUUUUUUAGCCCAAGUGGGCCCAAAACAUAAUUCUCCCAAAAGGAAAGGUGGCUUCGUAAAAAACAAUGGAUGCAGGUUGGAUUCUAGAAAUUUAAAUGUAAGACUUGGUUAUAAACUAUUGCAAGUCAUCCUCCAAACACAAAUAUGCUGAUGGUUAUAAACUAUUGCAAGUCAUCCUCCAAAAACAAAUAUGCUGAUUUCUAUUGGUUGUUGUGAAUUGAUUUUAUUUUCAUUGAGGAUGGCCUUCGUCAUGUUUGAUCGGUUCUUCUCCCAAACUCCUUGAUUGACAUAAAACCUUAGUAGUCGAUUCUUUAAUCUCUUCAAUUAAUUUAAUUAAAAAAAUAGAUAAAACUUCAUAACCAUUCAAUGUAUGUUGCUAAGAUUUUAUAUCAUUGGCUUUCUUUCAUGUUGAAUUCUUUGGUUGACCAUACCUUAGAGUGCAUUAUUUUAAGGGGAUAGGAUUCAACACCAUGCUAUAUAUAUAAGGAUCAAGUGGUUGUUGGUCGUCAUAUUUUCUAUUGAUUCCAAGACCAAUAAUUAAUUAGAUAAGGAUUAAUGGUUAAUGCAGAAAAUAUAAAAAAUAAUUAAAAAUAAGAGAAAAGUAUAAAUGAAGGGUAGUAUAAAUUUAAAAUAAAAAGUUAAAAUUAAACUAAAAGAUAAAUACAAAAAGAUUAGAAAUAUUUGGAUGAAAAAUCCCAAAAUUUUUAUCCUUACUUAUAUUAAGAGUAAAGAGAUUCAGUAUCUUUAAAAAUGAAAAAAAGAAAAAGAAAAACAUUAUUACUUUUUAUUUGACAUAAAACAAAAAUAUAGAUUGGAAGAAAAAGAAAAAAAAAAGUUACAAAUGAGUAAUACUUAAUACGGAAUAGAAAAGAGAAAAAAAAACUCAAAAAAAUUCAAAUUCACACUCACUAUGUGCCUAUGUAAAGGUUAAGAGUACUUUAGGGAUUAAUGAAGGAUAAUAUCCUUCUUCUACAUUUUCAGACUUUCUUUGGGUGUUAGGCUUAAUCAUGUAAGAUAUAUGGACCAGAUCUUAAUUUUUUAGCCCAACUGGGCCCAAAACAUAAUUCUCCCAAAAGGAAAGGUGGCUUCGUAAAAAAUAAUGCAUGCAAGUUGGAUUCUAGAAAUUUAAAUGUAAGACUUGGUUAUAAACUAUUGCAAGUCAUCCUCCAAAAACAAAUAUGCUGAUGGUUAUAAACUAUUGCAAGUCAUCCUCCAAAAACAAAUAUGCUGAUUUCUAUUGGUUGUUGUGAAUUGAUUUUAUUUUCAUUGAGGGUGGCCUUCGUCAUGUUUGAUCGGUUCUUCUCCAAAACUCCUUGAUUAACAUAAAACCAUAGCAGUCGAUUCUUUAAUCUCUUCUAUUAAUUUAAUAAAAAAAAAAUAGAUCAAACUUCAUAACCAUUCAAUGUAUGUUGCUAAGUUUUUAUAUCAUUGGUGUUCUUUCAUGUUGAACUCUUUGGUUGACCAUACCUUAGAGUGCAUUAUUUUAAGGGGAUAGGAUUCAACACCAUGCUAUAUAUAUAAGGAUCAAGUGGUUGUCGGUCAUCAUAUUUUCUGUUGAUUCCAAGACCAACAAUUAAUUAGAUAAGGAUUAAUGGUUAAUGUAGAAAAUAUAAAAAAUAAUUAAAAAUAAGAGAAAAUUAUAAAUGAAGGGUAAUAUAAAUUAAAAAUUAAAAAUUAAAAUUAAACUAAAAGAUAAAUACAAAAAGAUUAGAAAUAUUUGGAUGAAAAAUCCCAAAAUUUUUAUCCUUACUUAUAAUAGGAGUAAAAAGAUUUAGUAUCUUUAAAAAUGAAAAAAAAGAAAAAGAAAAACAUUAUUGCUUUUUAUUUGACAUAAAAUAAAAAUAUAGAUUGGAAGAAAAAGAAAAAAAAAAGUUAGAAAUGAGUAAUACUUAAUAGGGAAUAGAAAAGAGGAAAAAAACCACAAAAAAAUUGAAAUUCACACACACUAUGUGCCUAUGUAAAGGUUAAGGGUAUUUUAGGGAUUAAUGAAGGAUAAUAUCCUUCUUCUCAAUUUUCAGACUUUCUUUGGGUGUUGGGCUUAAUCAUGUAAGAUAUAUGGACCAAAUCUUAAUUUUUUAGCCCAAUUGGGCCCAAAACAUAAUUCUCCGAAAAGGAAAGGUGGCUUUUAAAAAACAAUGCAUGCAAAUUGGAUUCUAGAAAUUUAAACGUAAGACUUGGUUAUAAACUAUUGCAAGUCAUCCUCCAAAAACAAAUAUGCUGAUUUCUAUUGGUUGUUGUGAAUUGAUUUUAUUUUCAUUGAGGGUGUCCUUCAUCAUGUUUGAUCGGUUCUUCUCCAAAACUCUUUGAUUGACAUAAAACCUUAGCAGUCGAUUCUUUAAUCUCUUCAAUUAAUUUAAUAAAAAAAAUAGAUAAAACUUCAUAACCAUUCAAUGUAUGUUGCUAAGUUUUUAUAUCAUUGGUGUUCUUUCAUGUUGAAUUCUUUGGUUGACCAUACCUUAGAGUGCAUUAUUUUAAGGGGAUAGGAUUCAACACCAUGCUAUAUAUAUAAGGAUCAAGUGGCUGCCGGUCGUCACAUUUUCUGUGGAUUCCAAGACCAACAAUUAAUUAGAUAAGGAUUAAUGGUUAAUGAAGAAAAUAUAAAAAAUAAUUAAAAAUAAGAGAAAAGUAUAAACGAAAGGGUAAUAUAAAUUUAAAAUUAAAAAUUAAAAUUAAACUAAAAGAUAAAUACAAAAAGAUUAGAAAUAUUUGGAUGAAAAAUCCCAAAAUUUUUAUCCUUACUUAUAUUAAGAGUAAAGAGAUUCAGUAUCUUUAAAAAUGAAAAAAAGAAAAAGAAAAACAUUAUUACUUUUUAUUUGACAUAAAACAAAAAUAUAGAUUGGAAGAAAAAGAAAAAAAAAAGUUAGAAAUGAGUAAUACUUGGGAAUAGAAAAGAGAAAAAAAAACACAAAAAAAAUUGAAAUUCACACUCACUAUGUGCCUAUGUAAAGGUUAAGGGUAUUUUAGGGAUUAAUGAAGGAUAAUAUCCUUCUUCUCAAUUUUCAGACUUUCUUUGGGUGUUGGGCUUAAUCAUGUAAGAUAUAUGGACCAAAUCUUAAUUUUUUAGCCCAAUUGGGCCCAAAACAUAAUUCUCCGAAAAGGAAAGGUGGCUUUUAAAAAACAAUGCAUGCAAAUUGGAUUCUAGAAAUUUAAACGUAAGACUUGGUUAUAAACUAUUGCAAGUCAUCCUCCAAAAACAAAUAUGCUGAUUUCUAUUGGUUGUUGUGAAUUGAUUUUAUUUUCAUUGAGGGUGUCCUUCGUCAUGUUUGAUCGGUUCUUCUCCAAAACUCUUUGAUUGACAUAAAACCUUAGCAGUCGAUUCUUUAAUCUCUUCAAUUAAUUUAAUAAAAAAAAUAGAUAAAACUUCAUAACCAUUCAAUGUAUGUUGCUAAGUUUUUAUAUCAUUGGUGUUCUUUCAUGUUGAAUUCUUUGGUUGACAAUACCUUAGAGUGCAUUAUUUUAAGGGGAUAGGAUUCAACACCAUGCUAUAUAUAUAAGGAUCAAGUGGCUGCCGGUCGUCACAUUUUCUAUGGAUUCCAGGACCAACAAUUAAUUAGAUAAGGAUUAAUGGUUAAUGUAGAAAAUAUAAAAAAUAAUUAAAAAUAAGAGAAAAGUAUAAAUGAAAGGGUAAUAUAAAUUUAAAAUAAAAAAUUAAAAUUAAACUAAAAGAUAAAUACAAAAAGAUUAGAAAUAUUUGGAUGAAAAAUCCCAAAAUUUUUAUCCUUACUUAUAUUAAGAGUAAAGAGAUUCAAUAUCUUUAAAAAUGAAAAAAAGAAAGAGAAAAACAUUAUUACUUUUUAUUUGACAUAAAAAAAAAAUAUAGAUUGGAAGAAAAAGAAAUGAAAAAGUUAGAAAUGAGUAAUACUUGGGAAUAGAAAAGAGAAAAAAAAACACAAAAAAAAUUGAAAUUCACACUCACUAUGUGCCUAUGUAAAGGUUAAGGGUAUUUUAGGGAUUAAUGAAGGAUAAUAUCCUUUUUCUCAAUUUUCAGACUUUCUUUGGGUGUUGGGCUUAAUCAUGUAAGAUAUGUGGACCAAAUCUUAAUUUUUUAGCCCAACUGGGCCUAAAACAUAAUUCUCCCAAAAGGAAAGGUGGCUUUUAAAAAACAAUGCAUGCAAAUUGGAUUCUAGAAAUUUAAACGUAAGACUUGGUUAUAAACUAUUGCAAGUCAUCCUCCAAAAACGAAUAUGCUAAUUUCUAUUGGUUGUUGUGAAUUGAUUUUAUUUUCAUUGAAGGUGUCCUUCGUCAUGUUUGAUCGGUUCUUCUCCAAAACUCUUUGAUUGACAUAAAACCUUAGCAGUCGAUUCUUUAAUCUCUUCAAUUAAUUUAAUAAAAAAAAUAGAUAAAACUUCAUAACCAUUCAAUGUAUGUUGCUAAGUUUUUAUAUCAUUGGUGUUCUUUCAUGUUGAAUUCUUUGGUUGACAAUACCUUAGAGUGCAUUAUUUUAAGGGGAUAGGAUUCAACACCAUGCUAUAUAUAUAAGGAUCAAGUGGCUGCCGGUCGUCACAUUUUCUAUGGAUUCCAAGACCAACAAUUAAUUAGAUAAGGAUUAAUGGUUAAUGUAGAAAAUAUAAAAAAUAAUUAAAAAUAAGAGAAAAGUAUAAAUGAAAGGGUAAUAUAAAUUUAAAAUAAAAAAUUAAAAUUAAACUAAAAGAUAAAUACAAAAAGAUUAGAAAUAUUUGGAUGAAAAAUCCCAAAAUUUUUAUCCUUACUUAUAUNNNNNNNNNNNNNNNNNNNNNNNNNNNNNNNNNNNNNNNNNNNNNNNNNNNNNNNNNNNNNNNNNNNNNNNNNNNNNNNNNNNNNNNNNNNNNNNNNNNNGAUCAAGUGGCUGCCGGUCGUCACAUUUUCUAUGGAUUCCAAGACCAACAAUUAAUUAGAUAAGGAUUAAUGGUUAAUGUAGAAAAUAUAAAAAAUAAUUAAAAAUAAGAGAAAAGUAUAAAUGAAAGGGUAAUAUAAAUUUAAAAUAAAAAAUUAAAAUUAAACUAAAAGAUAAAUACAAAAAGAUUAGAAAUAUUUGGAUGAAAAAUCCCAAAAUUUUUAUCCUUACUUAUAUUAAGAGUAAAGAGAUUCAAUAUCUUUAAAAAUGAAAAAAAGAAAAAGAAAAACAUUAUUACUUUUUAUUUGACAUAAAAAAAAAUAUAGAUUGGAAGAAAAAGAAAAGAAAAAGUUAGAAAUGAGUAAUACUUGGGAAUAGAAAAGAGAAAAAAAAACACAAAAAAAAAUUGAAAUUCACACUCAUUAUGUGUCUAUGUAAAGGUUAAGGGUAUUUUAGGGAUUAAUGAAGGAUAAUAUCCUUCUUCUCAAUUUUCAGACUUUCUUUGGGUGUUGGGCUUAAUCAUGUAAGAUAUGUGGACCAAAUCUUAAUUUUUUAGCCCAACUGGGCCCAAAACAUAAUUCUCCCAAAAGGAAAGGUGGCUUUUAAAAAACAAUGCAUGCAAAUUGGAUUCUAGAAAUUUAAACGUAAGACUUGGUUAUAAACUAUUGCAAGUCAUCCUCCAAAAACAAAUAUGCUAAUUUCUAUUGGUUGUUGUGAAUUGAUUUUAUUUUCAUUGAGGGUGUCCUUCGUCAUGUUUGAUCGGUUCUUCUCCAAAACUCUUUGAUUGACAUAAAACCUUAGCAGUCGAUUCUUUAAUCUCUUCAAUUAAUUUAAUAAAAAAAAAUAGAUAAAACUUCAUAACCAUUCAAUGUAUGUUGCUAAGUUUUUAUAUCAUUAGUGUUCUUUCAUGUUGAAUUCUUUGGUUGACCAUACCUUAGAAUGCAUUAUUUUAAGGGGAUAGAAUUCAACACCAUGCUAUAUAUAUAAGGAUCAAGUGGCUGCCGGUCGUCACAUUUUCUAUGGAUUCCAAGACCAACAAUUAAUUAUAUAAGGAUUAAUGGUUAAUAUAGAAAAUAUAAAAAAUAAUUAAAAAUAAGAGAAAAGUAUAAAUGAAAGGGUAAUAUAAAUUUAAAAUAAAAAAUUAAAAUUAAACUAAAAGAUAAAUACAAAAAGAUUAGAAAUAAUUGGAUGAAAAAUCCCAAAAUUUUUAUCCUUACUUAUAUUAAAAGUAAAAAGAUUCAGUAUCUUUAAAAAUGAAAAAAAGAAAAAGAAAAACAUUAUUACUUUUUAUUUGACAUAAAAUAAAAAUAUAGAUUGGAAGAAAAAGAAAAGAAAAAGUUAGAAAUGAGUAAUACUUGGGAAUAGAAAAAAGAAAAAAAAAACACAAAAAAAUUGAAAUUCACAAAAAAAUUAAUUAUACCAACAAUAUGAUUUUUUUAGUUAAAAAUAUUUUAGCGAGAAGACAUUUUAUUAAAUAAGAAAUAAUCAUUUUUCUUGAUAUAAUUAAUUUAGACUUUAGGAUUUAAGAGUUAUAGGAUUAUAAUCUUCUGAAACAAUAGUGGAAGUUCUUUUUUAUCUUCAUUUAUGAAUUGAUUACUACUCAAAAAGUGCUAUUUCAUAGCUUGUAAUUAACUCUUUUAAACACUUUUGAGUAGUAGUUAUCACCUUUUAACCCAAUUAACAUAUUAAGGACCCUUGCAAUCAAUUCUAAUCAAAUUGUGUUAAGUUUUGGUGUUUUGAUAGCUUUUUUAUCACCAAAGCAAUAUGAGAUUGAGGAGACUUCUUUGGAAUCCAUGGCAAAGAUGUCCGAACAGGGCGUUCGGACACACCAUCGGAGGGCAGCGGAACGUGGGCUGUGACAGGCUGUUGGAAUGACGUAGCAAGGCUUGUGCACUUUAGUCAAUGUUUCAUAUCCAGACAACAUAUCCGGAUAGGAUAUGCUAUCGUCCGGGGUGUGAUGAUCGCGAGUGUCGUGUGCUUCUCCCUGAGGGAGUCCGGAUAGGGGAGCGCGCCACAUGUCCUCUUAAGGAAUCCAGAUGGAGUUGCUCUUUUCUCUCCACCCGGAUGUCUCACAUCCGAAAUUCUGCUCCGCCGACAUUCCACCCGGAAUUCUUCUCCACCGACAUUCCAUCCGGAUAUUUCGCAUCCGGCGCUUGACGCCGGAUAGGAGAGGAGGGUGUUUCAACUUCCACGGUCAAACAUAUCUGGAUCCUCUGAUAGCGCUUACCCGGAGAGUUUUGCAACCAUUUUGCAGAGUGUCGCAGUGUUCUCCUGAAGCUUCUCGAUAUUUGCGACCGACAUUUUGAGAUAUUUUGCUUUAGAUAUUUGAUGUCUAAAUCCCCAAACUCUCCUUGUAACCCACCAAUUAUAGGAUUCCUUAGUUAUUAAGUUUGGAAAAAGGAUGAAUAACCUUAUAUAUAUUAUUAUUGUAAUUUUCAUAUAAAUAUCUCUCGGGAGCCUGUUCUUAGGGAGACGACGCAUCAUUUGUAUAGUUUUGGAAGGAAGUAAAAUACAGAGUACUUGCUCUGCUUUUCAUAUAUAUUUUUGUUUUCUCGUUCUUUUUAUUUCUAGCCAAUCAAACUCUGAGGAUUUUUCCUCAGAAGAUGAGAGGCUAGGCUCUUCGUCUCUUGGAGUGAAGAAAGCCGGGUAAGUUUCCUCAUGCAUAAAUUGGAAGUUUUGUUGUUUUAGUUUUUAAUGAAGAGAAAGUGUGACCCGUUAAUGGUUUUUAUCUUUUUAGUUAACUUAAAACGCCUUUAAAUCACCUAGGCCAACACUUGGUAAGGCAAGUGAUCUCCAUCCAUUGAGAUACACUAGUUUAUCUCUUGCGAGCCUUUAGGAGGUGGUUUGAAGGUAGGAUUUUCUAGAAUAGCCAAUACUUGGUAAGCUUUUGGACUCUAAGGAGACAUCCAUUAGUUAUCUCUUGCGAGCUUUUGACGGUUAAUCCAAGGUUAAAGAUCACCUUGAAUGGCAAGUGCUAGGUGAGAAGUAUGAGCCAUUGCAAGAUGCAUCAUCAGUGAGAGGGAUUUAGUGUUUGAACCCAUUAAAGGGAAGCAUCUAUACCACACUGGUUCGGGAAAUAACUAUAUGUUAAAUCCCCAAUGCAAGGAAAAGAAACAAGUGACCGGAACUCUCCUUUUUGUAUGAGGAACCUGAGCCUAGUGAUCUAAACUCCAAGAAACACUUUUCUUUGUAAUUAAAAUCAGUUACUAUUAUUUUUGGUUAGCUUAAAACCAAAUCUUUUCCAUUCAAACAUCUUUAUGUUUUCUUUUAAAGCUAACCUUGAAAUGAAAACGCACCAAUUCAGCUUUGAAUUGAUAUCAAUUAUGAAGUGAAAACCCAUCCCAAUGAUUGAUCCUAGAGCCACUAUGCUAUAGUAGCUUUGUCUUUGCUACCCUAGUUCAUGGUGUAAUAGGUUAUAAAUUUUGUUGAUUACUCCCUCAAUCAAGGAGCACCAGCUGGACAUGAAUCAAUUGAGACACCAAGUGGGAACGAAUCAUGAAUGUAGGCUUUAGGGCAAACUACAUUAAUCGUGUUUUAUGUGUUUUUUUGUUUUUUUUUUUUUUUUUUGUUUUUUUUUUCUUAUUAUUUUUCAUUGUGGUUUUAAUUUGUAACUUUUUUAUUUUCUUCUCAAAUGUUUUAUUCUUUAGGGAAAAAAAUCAACUUUAUAGCAAAUCGAAAAGGAAAAUGAAGACUUGAAUGACUAUAUGCUUCCAACUUGUUUAUAAUAAGUUAUAUAUUUAAUUUUAUAAGACUUAAAUAAAGAAAUUAUGAAGCUAUUAAAUGUUAGUUACCCAAAUUACCUUAUGUUUGGAUGUAUAAUUCAGUUGGUUGGAAAUUAAUUAAUCUAAACCAAUUGAUUCAUUGAAGCACAACUAAAUCAUAUAUACUUUGUAAAAGACCAAAUGGAUUAGGUAAUUUUAAAAUUUUUUCUAGCACUUCCAUGUGAGGAAAUGAAUUAUAGCAUAAAAUUCUUUUUUACCAAAAAUAAAAUAAAAUUAUUUUCAAUUAAAAAUUAAAAUAUAUAAAAUAUCUAUUAUUUACAAAUAUUCACCAAAGUCCUAUAAAAUUUAAAAUGCAAUUGACAAGUCACAGCAGUUACAAGGCCCUAAUCUAGAUGACCCAAACAUGCAGUCAAAGUCAAGGUAAUGCAAAAUUUUCUUGAUAAGGUUGCAAGACAUGAAAGAAAAUAUAUUAAAAAUUAUUGAAGGAAAAAUGGCCACCUUGGUAGACACGACAUAAACCUUGAAUAUAUGAAUGAGGAAAAUAAUGUCCUUAAAUUUCCCAAGACAUGAAAUGACAAAAAUGUCUUUAAAAAGUGGUCCCAAUCUUUGGAUUACUUUAAAUAGUUGAUUUGAUUGAUUGGACUGGAUUAACGCAGAGCCAACUUUGAUGGGCAUGGUCAUUCUAUCAUAAAUGAUAACCUCAAGACUUAAUUUUUCAAAUUUUUAAGAGAUUUUAUUUAUUUUGGGAUGGUAUGCUAAAAUUGUUGAUGUGUUAUUGAUUAUUUUAUUUUUUUUUUCCCUUAAUUUUUCAUAAGAUUGUGAAACAUUACUUAUAAACAUAUUGGUAUUCCUUAUAUACAUAUUGAUAGGACAACAUGAAGAUUGUGAUAUUUUGAGGAAGGUUUUUCCAUGACUCAAUUCAUAGAACUAAUGACUUUAUCAUCUACAUGUGCAUAUUAUUAUUAUUAUUGUUAUUACUAUUAUUAUUGACAUAAUGCAAAGUUAAAGUUUGGGUGAACAUGAUAGAUUAAGUCUCUCUCAUUUAAAAAGAAAAAAAAUUAAGAGCUAAUAGAUUAAAAUGGUGUUUUUUUUUCUUAAAUAUAAAUAGAACUUAAUUUAGCUUAAUUUAAAAUACAACUUAAAUGUAUUAAGUAUUAAUUUAAUUAUUUUUUUCACAAUGUCCCUUUUGCCCCUCUUUCUUUUCUUGCUGGUACCAAAUCCUUGAGAUGUGGAAGCCAAGUGAGCACUUUCUAUCUUCUCUUGUUUCAAUCUCUCUUCCUCUUGUACACACUGAGCAAUAAGCUCAUUUAAAGUCCAUUUUUCCUUUUGUGUGCUGUAACUGAUUUUGAAUUGAUUGAAUUGUGUAGGCAGAGAGAUCAAGACCAAGUGCACAAGUAUUUCUUCCAACAACUCUAACUUUAGUGCCUUGAGUCUAGUCACAAGAUUAGACAUUUCCAUAAUGUACUUCCUUAUAUUAUCUUUUCUUUUGUACCGCAUGGACACAAACUUACUAAGAAUAGUGCUUGUCUCAAUCUUUUCGUUUGCAACGAAUCAGUUUGCUAUUUGGUCCAAGAAUGUUUUGGCUCGAGUUUCCUCAGGUAUUGCACCCCUUAUAGCUUCUGGAAUUGAGUGCUUCAUUAUCAUUAGACUCAUGCGAUUGGAUCGCUCCCAUUUUUUCGUAAUAGACCUUUGCUUAGCAAUCCUCUCUUAAUGCAUAGUCUAAAUCCCUGCACCCGAGCACAAUUAUAACGUGUUUCUUCCAUUUUUUGAAGUUUGUGUCAUUAAGCACAUGAAUGUUAUUGACAUUUGCAGAUAUAGAAGAUGCUAAAUUCUUAAUAAUAAAGCUCACAAUCAGUCACAUAAAUAUCAUACAUACAUGAGUAAAUAAAAUUUUUAACAUAGAAGUAAUUUUUGGACUAAUUCUAGACAAGUUACAAGAAGGCUUUGAAAGAAAAGAAAGGGUCCUUGAAUGCCAAUUGGUUAUUCUUCUCCUUGGCAAGCAAUCUUUUUUGGGUGAAGGCUAGAAGAAAUAAUGAAGGUUCUCUUAGAAUAUCCUUUUCAAAUUGUGGGGUUGCCACAACUGUCCAUAUCCUCAAACUCCCCUAGAUUGAGUGGUUCACAGAAGUCAACAGCUCGCACCAACAAUAUAUGACACUUGCAACUCCUUUCCGUCUCAAUUUUCUUUUAUUUUCCUCCGUCUGUCAUUCAACAACCAAAACUCAUCCUUUUAUACAAGUGUGCGAAUACCAUUUUCUUGCAUUUUUUUUUUAUUCUUUUCAUUAAUUUUGAAUUUUUCCAAUGAAGUUGCGAGUCAAGUCUUUAAUCUCAUUUGUUCAAUUAAUGACAAUUUUAAUUAUUGGGUUUUUCUCUUAAAGAAAAUGUGCUUUAAAUUUUUUUAUUCUUAUGCUUGGUUUGUCAUGAUCAAGUACAUAUAAUUAAAAAAAAUUUAAUUUUAUAAAAAUUUAAAAUUAUUUAAAUUUUAUAUAAAAAAAUAAAAAAGAGUGAAGGGAGUCUAAAAAGUAUAUAAAAAUCAUUUAUUAAUUUUAAAUCUAUUUUCCAUUUUUCUUUCAUCAUUUCUUUUCUUUUAUUUUUUAUCUCAAAUUUUUUGUUGCAUUUUCUUCCAAAUUUUUCAAAAAUUGAGCAUAUAUUGGAUAAGAGUUCAUAUGCAAGGAUAAAAAUAUUAGUUUUUAAGGAAAUAUAAAUGAUUGGAUUUUAUGGAUAUAUCAUGAUAUAUCAAUUAAGUAAAAAGAAAUUUGAUCGAAACUCAUAUAAAUAUAAUAAAAAAAAACUUAAAAAAUUAUAAAAUAAGAAAUAAUACACAUUAAAUUUUUUUUUAUAAUAAAUAUAUGAAGGACAUAAUUUGUGGUGUUAGGUUAUAAUAUACAAAACUUAAAAACCUAUUUAUAUUGAUAUAUGUAGUUGGGAUAAAUUAAUAAAAUAAAAUAAAUAAAAAUAUGAUUUUUUUAUUUAAAAAUAUUUUAAACUUUAUAUUUCUCUUAUUCUUAAUCUAUAUAUAUAUAAUAUCAUGAUAAUUUUUAUAUUAGAAAAUGUGUGUUUUCAUAUACAUAUUUGGAAAAAAAAAAUCCAUAAAAUAAGAUGAGUUAUUUUAUUAAAAGGGUUUUUGAAAUCUCAAAUUUUGAAAUUUGACCUCCCACCCUUUUUUUGGCCUUAUUUGGACAAAAAUAUCCUCAUUUAUUUAUUUAUUGUAAAAAUAACACUCUUUUAAAACUUAUAUAUAAAUACUUGAAAUGAUAUAAGGACAUUUAUUUAAAACAUAGGUUAUUUUUCAAGAAAAAAAAUAUGUUCACAAUUUAGGAAUUAUUUCAUUUCUUUUAAUAAAAUAUUUCAAAUAAGAAUACAAAAUAUAAUAUAUAUUAUUCAAUAAUAAUUAAGAUUUUAUAUACUUUUUCAUCAAAGAUAAUUUUUUAUAAUCAUAAAUAUUACUUUGACUUGGAUGUACACUAAAUUGAAAUUAUUUUUAAAGACUUCUAAUUUCUUUUUCUUUUUUUUAAAUGUGUGUAUAAAAGUACAUUUUUCCCUUUUAGAUUUUUUCCAUCGUUAAAUAGAAUAUAAAAAGAAAAUAAUUAAUUUACUAAAUUUAUUUUUUAUAUAAGCAUAAUAUUAUUAUAUGAAAAUUGUAUGCUGAAAUUUAAAUCAUAGGUUGCAUUGCCCAAGUGCCACUGCCCAUGUCUGUCGUUCCAAGCUCAAAGGAUCAAACCCAACAGAGACAAAAACAGACCAGUUGACGUCUUGGUCAAAACGUGUGGAGCGCGGCCACAAUGGAGCGUGGAGCGUGGGUUGGAAGCCGCGUGAAGGGCAGUGCUAGGCGUGGAGGGUGCUGAUACGAGGAUAAACAGAAAAUUCAGAAAAUACGGACGAAAAAAAUCCUCGAGAUAUUCAACAUUUCUCAUCAUAUUUUCUACUGACCUGGCCCCAUUUUUUGUCCUUGCCAAUAGGGUAGGAGAAAAUAUUUUUAUUAAUUAAAGUUAAUUUUCAUGAAAUAUAAUAAAAUUAAAUAGUUUCAUAAGGUAAGAAUACCUUUUUUUUAAGUCAAGAUUAAAUAGAAAUAAUUCAUUGGAAACGUUUUUUGAAUAAAAAUUUAAUAAUUUGUUUUUUAAUAUAAAUUUUUACUAUUUUGUUAUUAUUUUUCUAAUGCACUUAUCUUUAUUUUUGUUUUCAUUUUUUAUUAUUGAUAAAAACUUAGGCUUGUUUGGUAAUUGUUUUUUUAAGAAUAAUUUUUUUAAAUUAUUUUCUAAUAUUUUGUAAAAUAAAAAUCUACUUGUUUGAAAAUUUAAAAUAUCUUUAAUCUAUUUUUAAUAAUUUUAACCUAUUCUAAAAAUAAUUGUUUCAUAUAGUGUUUUAUUUUUAAUCAUUCUAAAUGUUGGUAUAAUUAUUGUUAAAACAAUUCUUAUAAAACAUGUAAAAACAACAUAUAAAACAAUUAAAGAUGUUAUCUGAAAAAAAACUAGCUGAGAGGAGGAAGAAGGUGCUUGGAAAAUGAUUAAAUCUGGUUUCUAGAGACGCUCUAGGUAUGUUCGUGGAGAGCUAUGUAUUUUAUCUUUUAGAAUGCUAUUCUGUUAGAUGUUUUUGGGUCCUUUAUGUACCUUUGCUGCUGAUUCUCUCUCUGUUUCAUGGAUUUUGGUUUGAAAAUUUGUUAAGGCUCUUCAUCAUCCUCACUAUAAAAGCAUCCAGAGAUAUUGGCUGCAUUGGUUUGAUUUAAAUCGGUUUGUGAUAUUUCCAUCAGUAGGAGUCCAUUGAACUAUCAUGAAAUAGAACUACCUUUGGUUUAUUUUUGUUCUUUUUUUUCUAUGCUCUGUUUUCUUGGUUGUAUUCUUUUUUCUUCUUUUUUUUCUAUGGAUAUUUUGGGUGCAAGGCAUUAUGGGUAUCUCCAGGUGGCAGUAUGUGAUGUAAAAAAAUGGGUUGAUGGUGUUUUUCUGGUAAUAUAUGGAGUGGGUUGUGAGUGUUAGCAAUACAUGAAAUGAUUUUGGUUGGGAUAAUCUUCUUGUAUGGCAUACAUGGGCAUUUGGUGGAGCCGCAGAUGAAAUUUUCAUGCUUGCAGGUGUUGCAUAAAUUGAAAUUCAAUUCUUUUAUUUGUUUUGGGCUGCCAGGGUGCUCUAGGCCCAUGAAUCCUAUUUGAAGGCCUUUCUACACUUUGGGCCCACCAUUAAGUGUGGUCAUCUUGACAUACGGUCCCAAUGGCCACUUGAAUUUUUUCUUUUUUUCUUUUUUUGUUUAUGGAUUUUGAUAACCUUCCUAACCCCAGUUUUUCAAAUACCUUUCAUAAUUCCACUCAUCAAAUAAUAUCAAAACUUUUAUUCUAGAAUAGUCUUUCUUAGUUCCAAUUCUCAAAUGAUUUCAAAUUUUUCAUUUUUGAAUAAUUUCCAAUUUCAAAAUUCCAAUAUUCACAUUAAUCUAUUUAAUUAUUAUUUUAUUUAUUUAUUAUAAAAUUCUAUUUUAAACAAUUCAUUAAAAUUUCCGACUUCCGAUUUUAAUUUCUAAUUCCAAAAAUUCCAAUAUUCACAUUAAUCUAUUUAAUUAUUAUUAUUUUAUUUAUUUAUUCUAAAAUUUCAUUUUAAACAAUUCAUUUAAAACUUCUUAUUUCCGAAUUAAAUUCCUAUUCCUAAAAAUUCCAAUAUUCACAUUAAUCUAUUUAAUUAUUAUUAUUUUAUUUAUUUAUUCUAAAAUUCCAUUUUAAACAAUUCAUUUAAAACUUUCGAUUUCCGAAUUAAAUUUCUAUUUCUGAAAAUCCCAAUAUUUACAUUAAUCUAUUUAAUUAUUAUUUUAUUUAUUUAUUCUAAAAUUCCAUUUUAAACAAUUCUUUAAAAUUUCCGACUUCCGAUUUUAAUUUCUAAUUCUAAAAAUCCCAAUAUUCACAUUAAUGUAUUUAAUUAUUAUUAUUUUAUUUAUUUAUUCUAAAAUUCCAUUUUAAACAAUUCAUUAAAAUUUCCGACUUCCGAUUUUAAUUUCUAAUUCCAAAAAUCCCAAUAUUCACAUUAAUCUAUUUAAUUAUUAUUAUUUUAUUUAUUUAUUCUAAAAUUCCAUUUUAAACAAUUCAUUAAAAUUUUCGACUUCCGAUUUUAAUUUCUAAUUCCAAAAAUUCCAAUAUUCACAUUAAUCUAUUUAAUUAUUAUUAUUUUAUUUAUUUAUUCUAAAAUUCCAUUUUAAAUAAUUCAUUAAAAUUUCUGACUUCUGAUUUAAUUUCUAAUUCCAAAAUUCCAAUAUUCACAUUAAUCUAUUUAAUUAUUAUUAUUUUAUUUAUUUGUUCUAAAAUUCCAUUUUAAACAAUUCUUUAAAAUUCCAAUUUCCGAACUUAAUUUCCAAUUCCCAGAAUUAUAAUUUCUUUCUAAUUUAAUUCCCAAAAUUCCAACUCUUAAAUUUAAUUCCCAAGACCCCGAUUUUCAAACAAAUUCCAAGAAUCCAGUUUUCACUCGAAUAGUUUUAAUUUCAUUUCGGUUCCUAAAUAAUCUUCUGAUCUUCUUGAUUUUACAUAAAUAAUAAUGAAUUCUUCAUAAUUCUAAAACACGAAAUUUGUGGGACUAGUUCAUGAACAAUAAAUUGGGCUUUGGUGGGGGCCCUAUGUUUGAUCCCUUUUGAUUGUCAACUGUUGUGCUUAAUGUAUUUUGUUUGAUCUUCGUUUUGCACUCCGAUAUGUAUGAGUUAUAUUUUAUAUUCAUCAUGCACUAACCCUAUUUUCAUGAUAGCUCACUAUGGCUCGUGGUCCAAGUACACGUACCCUCUCAUUAUGAUCAUUCUCUAUGCAUUUUCUGACUCUUGUAUGUGCAUGAUUGACUUGAGUAUCUAUUGAUUUCCUCAUGGAUUGUCACGUCAGCUUCAUUCUAUUAGUAGAGACCCGAUUUUAGGGACUUAGAGGGGUACUAUGGUUCAUACCAUACCUUCCCAAUAAGUAACCUGACCCCUGACCCCUGACCCCGAUCCGGUUUUUCACAGACCACCUUUUCCAAAACAAAGAGUCUCAUUUAGGGUUUUCUUUCUUAUUUUGUUUACCCUUUUAAAAAAUAAAACAAAAAUAAGUGGCGACUUCAAGUCAUUUUUAAUCAAUAAAUCAUUUUUUUUCAAAUAAAAAUCGAGCUCGCCAUCGAGUGGAAAACACAUUAGCCGAAAUGCGGGGUCCACAAAUCCAUUAUCCUUGUGCAUUUGUUUAUUUUUUGUUUUUCCUAUAUGAUUGACAUUAAUUUGUGUAGGACCUUAAAAACACCACCAAUUCUCCUAAAAACAAUUGCUAUUAGGAAAAGCGUAUGUCCUAACCUUAUAGUGUAUUCACCCAAGCACCCAUAGCAUUUGAACACAAGGGGAGUUGACAAUCUCCAACCCCACCUUACCUCCGCAACACCCUUGAGGUUCCAAUAUCGUGGGCGUUUGGGUAAAUGCAUUAUAAGGUUAGGGUGUGAGCCUUUCUUGACAACAAUUACUUUUAGGAAAGUUGGUAGCGUCUGAGAUCCUAUAACUGGUAUUAGAGUUAGACCUCUUGUUUAAAAUUUAGCUGUCUAAGAGGAAAGGACUAAUCCAUCAAACUCAUCUCAUAUUGAAAGUUUUAUAACCAAUAAACCUCCAUUUUUUUCAUGGGAACUGAUUAUCUCUAUUAGAAAACUAAAAUGACUUAGUUUUUACAAUCAACCGACUUAGACUUAUGGGAUGUCAUUAAAGAUGACCCAACUUUUCCUUUAAAACUAGUUAAUGAAGUCAUGAUUCCAAAACCCAAACAAGAAUGGGAUGAGUGUGGUAGAAGAAAUUUCCAAUUAAAUGCUAAGGUUGUUUAUACUUUGCAAUGUGUCAUGGAUAAAAAUGAAUAUAAUAGAAUUUGUCAAUGCAAAUCGGCUAAAGAAAUUUGGAUAAUACUUGAAGUGACUCAUGAAGGAACAAAUCAAGUUAAAAAGUCAAAAAUCAAUUUACUUGUUCAUAAUUAUGAAUUGUUUUUUAUGAAAGAUAAUGAAACUAUUAUUGAAAUGAUUACUAUGUUUAUUGACAUUGUCAAUGAUCUUGCAGCUUUGGAAAAUAACUACAAGAAAUCCGAGAAGCCGUUUUCUCUAUUAAGAUUAGUCUUUAUUUUCUCAAUUUGUUCCUAUGUUUUGCCAUCCUAAUUGAUUUUUAUAUUUUAUCAUACUUCGUUAAUAAUAUAGGAAACAAUACUAAGAAAAAUAAUUUUUUUAAAUGUUACUUUUUUAUUUUUAUUUUUAUUUUUAUCACUUUGGUAUUUAACAGUGGUGCAACCAUUUAUGGUUUACCUUGAUUUUUUUUAUUUUUUUUUCUACAGGGUUAUUUCAUAAAAGGGUAAUUGAAAACUUAAUUUUGGAAAUUCAACCUUUCAUCCUUUUUCUUACCUCAUUUUGACAAAAAUACCUUUAUUGUCUUCUUGUAAACAUAACUUUUUCUUUUAAAACAUACCAUAAAUACUUGAAAUAGUUAAGAACAUUUAUACCAAAAAUGAGUUACUCCUCAAACAAAAUAUAGGAGAGGAUAAGAGAAGAAGAAUUUUUAAAGUGAACUCUGUUUGAAUGUUUUUUUUUUUUUUGGAAUAAGAAAUACUAGCAACAUUUUUCUAAAAAUAUUUACAUACAUUUUUUUUAUUUUUUUUUCUUUUAUGUGAUUAAUAUUUAUUCAUAUAUUUUACUAUAAUUAUAGAUUUUCCACUAUAUUCUAUACACAAACAUAAUUAUUUUGUUUAUAUAAUAAUAUAUUAUUAUGUACUUUUAUAUAAUUACAUUUAUUCCUCUUUUUUUUUUUAAUUUCUUUUUCAGAAUAAUCUUUAAGAAGCCUUUAUUAUACUUUUCAUUUUUUUUAUAUAAUUUUUUUCAUGCAAAAUUCCUUGACCCAUUUAAUUUUUAACUACAUAUUGAGAUAGCUAAAGCACGUAAUGAACCCAAGGUUCAUCUAUUUUGCAUAAUUGAUAUUAAGAAUUUAAAAUAUAAAAGAUAAAAAUAUCCUUAAAGGAAUCAAAGAAAAGUGAGAAGAUGGUUUUUGCAUUUUUGUCUGCUGCUUCCUUCUCUUUUUGAUUUUUCAAUUAUAUAUAUAUAUAUACACCUACCUUCGUUUCAUCUCUUUAAUUUUUUUUUUUCUAGAGAAAUUUUAAUAAUCUCUCAUUUAUCUUUUCAUGGGAUUAUUACUAUUAUUAUAAUAAUUUUCUUAUUUUUGAUUAUAAUAAUAUUAUUAUUGUUAUUAUAAUCAUUUCUUAUGUUAAUAGAGACUAAUACAUUUCUUUUAGAAAUUGAAAUAGAGCAUAAAAUAAAAAGCUUUUUAUUUUUAACAAUUUCAAAAUAAAUAUAUAUAUUUUUUAACGUUUUAAUCCUAUUGAUAUCAUCUAUUUCAAUAUUGGAUUAUCAUAUUGAAAAUAAAAAUCUCUUGAAAUAUUGGAUUUGGGAGGGCUGUUUAGAUUAUGACUAAGGACUUGAGAUUAUCAGGAGUAUUAGGUUUAAUGGUCUCUUGCAGGAUAAUGUAUCAAUAAAGAUAUUAGUAAUUAAGAUACACAAGGAAAAAUAUAUGAAUUUUAAUAUUCAUCAUUCGUUUAAAAGCAAUAUCGAUCCUCAUAAUCUAAAACCCAUUUGUAUUCGGAGACCACCUACAUGAGCUGAGCAUUAGCCAUUGGGUCAGAAUGAGAAUUGCAAAGAGGCGCUUCAAUUAUGAAGGCAAACUGUAGGACCCCUUAUAUUACAGGCUGUAUUGUCCACAAUUACCAAAUGUUACAAAAAAGUCUUUCAAGUGGCCCUCACCUUUUGUUUUUCUUUUCCUUUUUCUGCUUCUUCUCUUUUUGGUGUGCUGUUGAAACAGCUGCUAUUCAUCAGAUCCAUUACGGCAACUCACCAUCUCUUCUCUUUUCAGCUCGUCACUUGUCUUCCAACUCAUCCUUUUUCUGUCAUCCCCUCAAGCAAUGGAUUGUGUGAGCCCAAUCCUGGACGUCGCCACCCGCUUGUGGGAUUGCAGCGCCAACAGUGCACUUUAUAUUCGUGAGCUUCAAGAAAAUCUCAAGUCUUUGAAGAGCUUAACGGAGGAACUGAGCAACUUAAGUAAGGAUGUGAUGGGAAGAGUUGAGCGUGAGGAGGAACAACAGAGUAGACGUACGCAUGACGUGGACGGUUGGCUCCGCGCUGUACAGGUCAUGGAAAUAGAAGUGGAAGAAAUAUUGCAAAAUGGGGAUCAAGAAAUCCAAAAGAAAUGUCUCGGAACCUGUCCCAAGAAUUGUUGGUCAAGCUACAAGCUGGGGAAGAUUGUGACUAAAAAGAUCAAUGCUGUGACUGAAUUAAAGGCUAAAGGGAAUUUUGAUGUUGUGGCUGAGAGGUUGCCUUCUGCACCGGUGGAUGAGAGGCCGAUUGGGAAGACUGUGGGCUUAGACUUGAUGUUUGAGAAGGUUCGGAGAUGCCUUGAAGAUGAGCAAGUAAGAAGUAUUGAAUUGUAUGGAAUUGGGGGUGUUGGAAAAACCACCCUCUUGCAAAAAAUCAAUAAUGAGUUUUUUCGUAAAAGAAACGAUUUUGAUGUAGUGAUAUGGGUAGUGGUGUCGAAACACAUCAAUAUAGAAAAAAUUCAAGGAGUGAUUCUGAAUAAAUUACCGACCGGAGAUGACAAAUGGAAGAGUCGCAGCAAGGAGGAGAAGGCUGCAGAAAUAUUCAAGUUGUUGAAGGCCAGAAACUUUGCGAUAUUGCUUGAUGAUAAGUGGGAGCGACUCAAUCUCUUUGAGGUGGGGAUCCCUGAUUUGAAUGAUCCGACUAAGUCCAAAGCAGUACUCACUACCCGAUCUGAACAAGUAUGCAAUGAAAUGGAAGUUCAUAAGAGGAUAAGGGUAGAGUGUUUGACCCCGGAUGAAGCAUUUUCUCUGUUUUGUAACAAGGUUGGUGAGAAUGUCCUGAAUUCACAUCCGGAUAUAAAAAGACUUGCUAAUAUUGUUGUUGAAGAAUGCAAAGGAUUGCCACUUGCCCUCAUCAUCAUCAGGCGAUCAAUGGCUAGCAGGAAAACUAUCACGCCCCAAGACCCACUCCAAGGGCAUGACGGUCAUUUUACACCUCAAACCCGAAGGCUUAAAGUAUAACCUGACCCAAACAAUCAUAUUGUAAUUGGAAGUAACCAAUUACCAAAAACCUGUUCAGAGUAAUAGAACAAAAUUCUAAAAUCUCCUAACUUAACUUUAGAACUAAGCAUCCAUCAAUUAAAAUCCAUUAUCCAAAUAGAUUGCAACUCAAUAAAUCAAGUACUAAUGAAUUUUUAUAAUCUCCAUAUCUCAACUUCAAUCUAUCAUAAAAAAAAUAUAUUUAAAAGCUCAAUAUCUAAAUAGCUUCCAAAAACUAAAUAAACUAAAUGAACAUAAACUUAUAAGCUAACAAUGUUCAAAAAUAACAUCCUAAGAAAAAUCCUAAUGAUGACCAACUUUCCCGCCUAGUCAUUACUCCUCGCCCGAACUAAAGGUACCUGAAAAAUUUUCAACAAUUGUGAAUGAGUUCACAGCCCAAUAAGGAAUAUUAAUGUAGUUCAUGGAUCAAAUAUUUUCAUUUCAAAUAGAAGAUAUCAUUUUUUUUUCUCAUCAAAUAUCAGAGUUUCAAAAAUACCAAUAUAUUCAAAUUUCGACCAACCAUUUUCAUAUCAAAUUCAAACACUUUCACAUAAGAUUCAAUCAAAUCCAUUCAAUUUUCAUUACUCUGGUUAUCAAAUAUCAAAUGCCCAGUUAGGUGGGACUUUUCAAAUGAGUGACUAGCCUCAAAUUGUUCCUGGUGGACGGAACCAAACACUACUAGUACUAGUAACCUCUAACCAAACCCCUAGAGGUUGGGGUUCAAAUCAAUUACAUUCCCACCAUGAAAUGUAAAGGUCAACUAUUAUAUCCCGUUGACAAGGGUCAAAUAAUCCAGAGUGAUGUUUUUGUUCAAGUAUUCAAAUUUACACAACAUAAUAUCUCCAUAUUUUGUGUCAUAAAUAAAACAAAAUAUUCCAACAUAAUAUUUAGUGCAAAACAGUUUGAUCCAUGCAUGGUAACAAAAUAUCAUUUUCUUUUCCACAAUUCAAAAUAACAUAUAAAAUAAUUUAAUUUUAUAAAUAUUAGAGAUUACCCUUGUACCAAGAUUAAGCAUGGCAAAAACUUGAAACUAUAAUCUCAAUCAAUUCCAUAAAUAUUAAUCAGCCAAAAAAAAAAAAAAAAUCCUGAAAAAAUGGAAUUUAAAUCCACAACGAACACCCAAACAUUUGGUUGAUUUUAAUUGGAAUCAUACCUAAGCCCCUUGUUCUUAUAUUGCUUUAAAACUGGGAAGGAAAGUAGUUAAAGUAGCUUCAUCCUCCCAUUCUAAUUCGUUCCACCACUCUUGCUUUCCUACCAUCACAACUCUACCUUGAUUGGCACUGUUGGAGUUGAGUGGCAGCCUCUUCAGCUUUGGACACCCAACUACUUCAAUUCUGUCAAGGUAAAGAAAGGGCAAGGGAUUCCGGUACACAUUCUUCAGUUGGGGUAAACCAUUUAACUCCAGUCGUUUGAGUUUUGUGAAUGGG